AGCAUGUAGUAUAGUGGUAUUACAGUCAGGUAUUAAGCACGGGAGGUAGGUCAGUGAAUCUCACAAAGAUUCUUGGUUCGAAUCCAAGACUUGCUA